rnacentral:sRNA from 1 species
CUUUAAUGCGUUAGCGAUAGAAGUGGCAUCCUUUUUGAAAUUUGAAAAACGUCAUUACGAGGAGUUUGCGACGAAGUAAUCUUUUGAAUUGAAAGAUUGCCACAAACUUUAAAAAAAAUAAAGUUUUGUAAUGACAGUAUUUUAAAAAGAUAUAACGAAUAGCGCGGCCUGAA